CGUUGUGCUACGUCGACGUCUUUCGUUCUUGCGCCAUGCACGUGCGCACAUCGCGUUGCCACGAGGGGAAAUUCCCUAAGGCAAAACUCACCUCGCAUGAUCGCAUCACUAUUGCUAAAAGCGGGCUUUGUUUCGCCUGCUAUGCGGCCAACCCCGUGGCAAGAGUAUAUACGAGGUGGGGAAAAGACACUGGUGCCUCGUCGGACAAGAUGAACUGGUCAAGUUAAGCCUCGGGUCGAUAGAGCAAGUCACAAAUGUAUGCACGUGCGUUCGCUUGCCCUGGAAGUUUGCCGUGGCGAUUGCCCUACUCAUGGCAGAAAUAUAACUAAACUGGUUUUCAAGAUGAGAUGGAUAUGGACGACCAGCAUGCAAUAGAUGAGGAGCAGAAGGGGCCAAGGCCAGAAGAAAAAUGGAAGCGAGCAGAGAUAAAAAGUAACCAAGGGGAGGACAGAGGCAAGACCGAAAGAACGAACGAACGGACUGAGGCAAGACAGAAAAGAAAGGGGAGUGGAGCAGCCGGAUGCAAGACAGAAUGGAAAAAAGCACGGCAAGAAAGACCAACGAAUGUGCAUGUCGUGAAAAGAGGCAAUUUGCUGUAUUGUUAAAACAAGUAAUUCCUUUACUCUCCACCACUGCUGUAAGCUACAGAUAGAUAAGACCAGCAUGUAUCUAAGCACAUUACAGGUUUCGAAAAUAAUAAUACCGUAAUGGUAAUCGAAUCGGUUGGUUGGUCAUCAAUCGAAUGGUCAUGGAAUCGAUCAGUUGCUCCAGCUGCAUGGUUUACCUAGCUGCAUGGUUUACCUAGCUGCAUGGUUUUCCCGAAAUAGGAAUUCCCAGCGUGACAUCUACCGAUAUUGGUAGAACUGAUUGUGUCCUUUGUAUGAUUGAAUUGUGCUUAUUGAAAACAUCCUUCGCCCACAUCAUAAUUCAAAUUGAAUUGAAUUCAACCUUAUUCCAUGCAAACAACAUUUGCUUUCUAAUCUAACAAUUUUAAAUUUAUCUUCUUUUAUUUCCAUUACAUUAGAUAGAGCUUGGCAUAAUAUCUUUACGAUUUCUUAUUUUAUUGAACAUGCCAUCUGUUGAUUUCUUUUACUCUGAGCGCAGCGCAUGCUUAUAGGAACAGUAUGGCGGAUGUAAUAACGGGGGCUGGUGUGCUAGCUGCAUGGUCUUCCCGAAAUAGGAAUUCCCAGCGUCACAUCUACCGAUAUUGGUAGAACUGAUUAUGUCCUUUGUAUGAUUGAAUGGUGCCCUUUAGAAACAUCCUUCGCCCACAUAAUUCAUAUUAAAUUGAAUUCAACCUUA